AGAGAUUUAGGUUAACCUAGACCAAGAGCCUUCAAAGCCCUCAGUGGGAGUUAAAACCUCUCAAUCCCUG
rnacentral:tRNA from 1 species